rnacentral:rRNA from 1 species
UACGUAGGGUGCAAGCGUUGUCCGGAAUUAUUGGGCGUAAAGAGCUCGUAGGCGGUCUGUCGCGUCUGCUGUGAAAACUCGGGGCUUAACCCCGGGCCUGCAGUGGGUACGGGCAGACUAGAGUGCGGUAGGGGAGACUGGAAUUCCUGGUGUAGCGGUGAAAUGCGCAGAUAUCAGGAGGAACACCGGUGGCGAAGGCGGUUCUCUGGGCAUUACCUGACGCUGAGGAGCGAAAGUGUGGGGAGCGAACGGG